GGAAUAUUGGACAAUGGGGGAAACCCUGAUCCAGCGACGCCGCGUGGGUGAUGAAGGCCUUCGGGUUGUAAAGCCCUUUCGACGGGGACGAUGAUGACGGUACCCGGCGAAGAAGCACCGGCUAACUCCGUGCCCGCAGCCGCGGUAAGACGGAGGGUGCUAGCGUUGUUCGGAAUCACUGGGCGUAAAGGGCGCGUAGGCGGGAUGGCAAGUCAGUCGUGAAAUCUCUCGGCUCAACCGAGAAACGUCGGCUGAUACUGCCGUUCUUGAGGGAUGCAGAGGAGACUGGAAUUCCCGGUGUAGCGGUGAAAUGUGUAGAGAUCGGGAGGAACACCGGUGGCGAAGGCGGGUCUCUGGGCAUUUCCUGACGCUGAGGCGCGAAAGCGUGGGGAGCA
rnacentral:rRNA from 1 species